GGCGCGUGUGAGAUGCAGCUGGGUUGGCGCGUUGGGACCCGGUUCCGGAUGGCGGUGGUUUGCCAGUGGUGAGCGAGCAUGGAGACCGCUGCGGACGCCGGGACCCGUCCCGUGGGCGCGGGGACGCUUGCAGGCGCGGGGACCCCGCCAGGCUUGCAGACCGACUGCGAGGCGCUGCUCAGCCGCUUCCAAGAGCUGGACAGCGUGCGCUUCGAGGACUUCGCGGAGCUCUGGCGCAGCAUGAAGUUCGCUACUAUCUUCUGUGGCAAGAUGAGGAACUUGAAAAAGAACAUGUUUACAAAAGAGGCUUUAGCUCUGGCCUGGCGCUAUUUUUUGCCUCCAUACACCUUCCAAAUCAGAGUUGGUGCUUUGUAUCUACUAUAUGGGUUGUAUAACACGCAGCUGUGUCAGCCAAAACAAAAGAUCAGAGUCGCCCUGAAGGACUGGGAUGAAGUUAAUAAAUUUCAGCAAGACUUGAUAAAUGCACAGCAUUUCGACGCAGCCUUCAUUUUCAGGAAUCUUCGACUGGACAGAGCCUUCCACUUCACAGCAAUGCCCAAGCUGCUUUCAUGUAGAAUGAAGAAAAAAAUUCAGCAAACUGAAGUGACCCAAAAGUUUAAGGACCCAAGUGAUCGUGUAAUGAAACUUAUCACUUCUGAUGUAUUAGAGGAAAUGUUGAAUGUUCAUGAUCAUUAUCAAAAUAUGAAGCGUGCUAUCUCAGCUGAUAAGUCGAUGCCAGACAAAGCCCUCAGCCUGGUAAAGGAGGAUUUUUUUGACAACAUUAAGAACAUAGUUUUGGAGCAUCAACAGUGGCACAAAGACAGGAAGAAUCCGACCCUAAAACCAAAACUUAAAGAGGGAGAAGAAGACAGUGAAGGCCCUUCACAGGAACCAGAGAGAUGUGAAAGAGCGGAGUCCUUAGCAAAAAUCAAAGCAAAAGCCUUUUCAGCUGUUGCCCAGGCAUCCAAGUCCAGGAGGCAUCGCCAAGCCAAACUUGACUCUUCGGACUCUGAUUCCGGGUCUGGACAAGGGCAAGGCAAAGCAGCUAAGAAAAAAAGAACCAGAGAGACAGCAGCAGAACCAAGAGGAAGGAAGAGGGCUUCCAGGAGCAGAGCAGGUAAAGGUGCUUGCUGCCAAGCCCGACAGCCUGAGAUUAGUUUUCCGGACCCUGAUGGCAGUAGGAGAGAACCAGUUUUCAAAAGUUGUCCCGUGACCUCCACAUGCACACUGACACAGGUAACGUUCAGAAUGAACGGAAGGAAGAGAAGUCUUUAUGCCUGAGUAUGCCCAUAAUUGCCGAAGAGGAGGAGGAGACUGACAACUUCAGCGAAGCAGAGUUCACUGCACCCAAGAGGAAAAGAAAGCGCUGACCAGGAGCCUGGUGGAGUUUUAUUUCAAUUCUGAGCUUUCUUACAGAAGAACAGGUUUGUUUUGUUCUGAGCAGGAGGCUGGCCAGCGAGGACCAACGUACGAGAAUGAGGUCAUUUCUGUGAAAUGGGAGAGCCCGACAUAGGUCAAGAGUUGGAAUACAAGUUUAUUCUGAAGUUUAAUUUAACAUUUCUGUUAAAAGUCUGUGUGAAUGGAGAUAAAGUUUGCAUUUAGAAUGUAAACAAAGAAUUGUGCAUUUGUGGGUUUAUACUAUUUCCCGAAAGUUUUUGUGAUAUCACCUUAAUGCAUCACUGCAAUAUUUUCUAUCCUAGUUUAAAAAAUUUUCUUAAAAUAAUUUUUAUACAUAAAUGACUCAUACCUGUCACCUAGCAAUGGAUUGGACUGUGGUUUAGGUUUAAUAUUUUAUGUGUUAUUAUGGUUAGGUGCAAUAAAAUUUUUGUCCCACUUGCUUUA